rnacentral:rRNA from 1 species
CCAAUAGCGUAUAUUAAAGUUGUUGCAGUUAAAAAGCUCGUAGUUGAACUUCGGGGUCUACCCAUUGGUCAGGCUUAAUUGUCUGCACUGGUGAGAUGGAUCUCUACCUUCUGAGGAACUUUCAUGCCAUUUAUUUGGUGUGAUGGGAAAUCCGGACUGUCACUUUGAAAAAAUUAGAGUGUUUAAAGCAGACUAUCGUCUGAAUACAUUAGCAUGGAAUAAUGAAAUAGGACGGACUGAUUCUAUUUCGUUGGUCUCUAGGAUCACCGUAAUGAUUAAUAGGGAUAGUUGGGGGCAUUAGUAUUCAAUUGUCAGAGGUGAAAUUCUUGGAUUUAUUGAAGACUAACUACUGCGAAAGCAUUUGCCAAGGAUGUUUUCAUUAAUCAAGAACGAAAGUUAGGGGAUCGAAGACGAUCAGAUACCGUCGUAGUCUUAACCAUAAACUAUGCCGACUAGGGAUCGGACGAAGUUAAUUUUAUAAUGACGCGUUCGGCACCUUACG